ensembl:lncRNA
GGUUUUUCUGCAUAUUUUAUAUAUAUAUAUAUAUAUAUACACACAGCGCACAAUUCCUAUGAAAUGUGUUUUCAAUGUGUUUUGAGAACCACACAGCAUGUGCUCCAUGGCUGUGACCGAGGAGGCCAAAAGCAGUGCAUGCCAGCAGUUACUCUCUAUACACCAGUGCCACAUUCAGCCUGACCUUACUUCGAACACCACUAAUACGCUUUUAGACACCGCUUGCUCUUUCUAAGAAAGGAGUGGCCUGUGUAAUGCUCACUUCUUUGGAACAGGCGCACAAAAGGCUUUUUCCUUGCUGCUGAACGAUGAGAAAUCUCUUGCACAUAAAAAACAGUGCUUCAGGAAGUACACAGGAAAAUCAAACAUAACACAAGAUAUUAACCCAGUGCAACAGAGCAAUAUAGAGAUGAAGCAAGCAAACAAGCCCAAGGCGUCUCAAUCCUUUGGUGUAGCAGCGAACAACUGCAUGAAUUACAGACCAGAAGCCUGCCACACCUGCAAUAAUGCAGUUUUUUUUUUUUUCAAACUAAAGAAAUUUCAGGACUAUUAUUAGCUAAGCAGCUUCAGACAUAUUAGGGUCGUGUGUGGACAGUUGUGUGUCGUCUGCGCAGAGAUAUAACAGGAAGGCAGGUGUAACGGCCUCAGCAUGCUGAAUGUAGGGUAGAAUUUGUGGAGGUUUUUCUUCUCAUUGCUUGAUUUUGUGGCGGCUUUUUUCAAAACUUGCGAUGAAGUUUUCUGUGGAAAACGACUUGAAAUGACAAAAUUGCAAUUGUUUUCACAGCAAUGUUUGUUGGCAAACGAGACCUUUUAGCACAUGAAUGGAAGAGUGCUUUGACUGAAUGCACGUUGUGAUGACGUAUUUCUGUACCCUCCAGUACUUCAGGAAGCUUGAGAAAAAUCUAAAUAACCCAAGAAAUUCAUCCAUCUUGCAAUGAGUAAGUCUGGGCCUCAUAUGCAACAACCAAUCGCAAAGAUUUCACACGACAUUUGUUUGAUCCGCAUGUACAGUACUGUGCAAAAGCCCUGGUAUACAUUUUUUUGUACAAGGACGCUAGCAUGUGCGCAGUCGUACACAUAGCCUUUCAAAAUGUACUCCAUUUGACAUGUACGCAUACACAGGCGGUCGACGCAUGCACAUUAUGACAACUUGCACUACCCCUCCUGGCCUACAAGUGUCAGUACAGAGCAGUAAAGCAGGUCUUUUGGUGUGAAGGAUGACAACGAAGAAGAAUCACAACACCACGAAGAGCUAUGCUCGGGCAAUCGCCACGAUUCACAUCCAUAUACAAAUCCUUAUACUCUUUACAGCUAGAAUUCUACAAAUGCGGAUACUUUCUAAGCUGCACUCGUUUCCGUCUCUUCUGUUUUUUCUUCAAUGACCUUGAGAAUCAACAGUUCGGGUCACUGCUCCCACCUUGAGGAACAACUAAAUAGUGCAAAAUAAUUAAAUGUGCAUGUGCGACCUGGUUAGAAAAAUCAGCUGGUGUGUAACAGUACGCAGACGUACUCUGCCGAUGAUAAAAUUUGCAUCACACGUACUGUACGCUGUUCCUAGCGUACACGUAAAAAGUGAAGCAUACUUUCUGCUUUAGGCACCCUAUUUUUUUUUAGUACAAACUUUGUUAAAGAUUUUUUAUUUUAUGACUUUUACAUUAUCGAGUCCGUACAAAAAAUAUUUUACAUUCCCAAACAUUAGUUUUCUAGCACAAAAUUAAAUGUUACAGAAAAAUUGUGUCAUUUAAGAAAGCAGCAUAUUAAGUGGUAAGAGACCACUUUUGAGAUUAAAAAAAAAAAAAAAAAAAAAGUGAAGGCAGCUUAAUUUUGCUGUAAAAAUAAGAAGCAAGUGCGACAGUCAAAGUCUCCAGAAGAACCAUGGCUGGUUCUGCAAGAUGCUCAAUACAUGCUUACAGCUCAUUUCCUUAUAAAACUGCACUAGGGAUGGGCGAUAUCUUAUCAUUUGCGAUAUACUGGUAGAAAUUCCCCCCACAAUAAGAAUUAGUCUUCCCGUGAUAAUAACAAUAAAGCCUAGUUGAUGAUGCAUUUAUGUGUGACGGCCUGCGACCCAUUCACAGCUCACGUGCAGAGCGAAAACAAGUACGGCGGAAGGCGGACAUAAAGCUGAGGAGGAGUUUAAAUCACUAAACAAGGAGCUACCUCUAAAAUCUGGAACUGGUUUGCUUACAGAAAAUCAGUUUUACUUUUAGAUCAAUGUUGGUGUUUCUGAGGCUCUCAAGAUCACCGCGAUCACUUGUAGCCAAAAAGAAUGGAGCGUAAUACUAUAUUUAUCACACCACUGAUAUCGUUGUUGCAAUAAAUAACAGAAAAUAGUUUUAAGUCCAUGUCGCCGAUCCCUACACUGCACAAAUUGUACCGGAGACAACGGUAUUUGUUUAAAAUGUAGAAACAUUUAAUUUUACCUUUGCUUUACAGAAUUUCUUUGCAUGCGCCGAAAACUCUUGCGCAGUACUCUACACCAUAUCGUUUGCGGAAACCAGUCGAUCAUAAUCGUUCGUCAAAGAAAGUACGCCGAAAAUACCUGGACUGGAACCAUUCACGGUGAAGAAAUUUUGAGACGUUGUCCUUGUUGAGCAUGGAAAGACUUCAGUUUCCGGCACAGCUUGGCAAACACAUUAGGAAAUACGUAUUUGGGGAAGUGGGGAGUAAUCUUUCACUUUCUUAAGCCAGGUUCACGCUGUACAAUUUCGGCCACGAUUUGAUCGUCUGAGAAAUUUUGAGAAUCCUAUAAUCCUAGGCCAAAAUCUGUAGUCUUUGAUCGCUAGUUCGACAUGUUCCCUGACGGCCAAUUAACGGCCAUUGCGAUCAGAUUUUCCCUCCGGUUAAAUUCUGGCAGUGUCAGAAGAUUUGAGGCACAGUCCUAUAGUGUGGCAUCUCCUACUCCGUAUGAGUCUUCUCACGUGUGUCCGUUUUUCACGUCUUGACUGUCGUACAGUCUGACAUUAAUGACAACCAAGAUCCUACAGAGUGACAUGGCUUACAGUGUUCGUACAAUGUUCAUACACUAUGACACACCGUGUUCACACUGUGUGCACCCGGCUUUACCCUGGUUUCAUCUUGGGCCGGUUUGACACAGACAUUCAGAACCAUUCAUCAUGAUCACUGAUCAGCCUACUUCAAAUUUAAAGUGCACCUAUUAUGGUUUUGAAAUAUGACUAAUCGUGUUUUAAAGGUCUCAUACAAUAGAUUUACAUGCAACCAUGGCAAAAAUAUAACAACAAAAAAAAUAAAACCACCACUUUAAUGUGCUCAUAAUUUACACUGCAUCAUUUACCCCCCCACAAACGAAUGGUUAAAUGAUCCGUUCUAAAGGAUUCAUUCUAAACUCCUCCUUUCAGAGAGUAUACUUUGCUCUGAUUGGUCUACCUCUGUCAGCGUGUGUUGAAAUGGAAAUGUCCACUACAGUGAAUGAAGACCAGAGCUUUUUGUUACAAACCUAUGUAGGUUAGUAGAGGAAGUAAGUCUGGAAUUACUAACCACUCGUUUCAGCUCUUCAGAAUCGGUUCCUUCUUUUGAGAGUCAAUAAGUACGUUUGUCAGGCGCGUUGAUUUUCGAAACUUUUUACAUUCACAAACAGCUACAUAACACUACAUGAAAGGUAAUAUCUGAAAAACCAUAAUAGGUGCACUUGAAAUAUGACACUACAGCACAUCAGGAUGUUCAUUUUUGUCAAAUCGAGACAGAUGUGUUCUUCAUUUAACAGACCGACAAGCCAGGAUUCAGCCACUCUAAUGAGUAAAUGUAGUGGGGUUUUUUUUCUUUUUAAAUGCUUGUCUUCCGUGGAAGAUGAUAUUUAUUUGAAAGAUGCAGAAAUCUGACACUAGAUACGUCAAAUGGAAACACUAGAUAGAGAAAAAAACGCGUGACACAAACUUUCUUUGUCCUUUAAAUAUCUAAUAGUAAUCAUGUCGCAUUGCUUGUAAGCUAAUGAUCUGGAUGUUUCCCCGACUGUUUACAUCUUGUUUCCAAAAUAAUUUUUAAACUUUUUUUUUUUUUUUUUUUUUUUACACACGUCCUGCUUGUAUUUCACAUCCAUGGCUACGGAAUAAAAGGUAAGGUACAAAGGAUGCAGUUUUCGUGUCAGAGUGUAAAAAUUGUUACCAGUAUACUCGACUAUUAUGCAGAAAUAUGUACAUACGCAAUUAGCUAACUAGCUAGCUAUAAAACACACACACACACACACACACAACUGUUCACUGCGCUUCAGUUACACAAUGCAGCUGAGCUACUGCGUGUCCAAAUAACACAUGACACGUGUGUGUGUCGUGUGGUUAAACAUUUCAUUUCUUUUUGGUUUCGAAGAAAAUGUCAGCCGACGAACAAAGAAAGCGACUAUCGUUACCGCUGAAAAAAAUAGUGUUUGCGCGCACCGUUAUCACCGUUAGCUAUCUAGCUAACGUAGCUAGCUAUUGCUAACUGGCUACAUAAAACGCCUUGCUUAGCAUAAACCGUCAGUUAGCAAGCCACGUUGGUACAACAAAUUAGUUGGUCCAUUUACACACAGUAGUUUACAGCAACAACGCGUUAUCAGUUAAUAAAAUAAAUAAAUAACCCGUGUGUAAAUCCGAAAAUGGAUAACAAAAGCUCGGACUAGCUAAAAGCUAUCGCGGCAGUUGUUUAUGAAAGUAUCCAGUUAAAACGCCAGCGAGCUACAGCGGAUCAUACGGUGCAGAGCGCUGCCCCCACCCCAGGCCUUCCCUCUUAGGUGAAAACAAAUACAUACACCUGAAACACAACCGCACACCAUCCUGAACUGACGUACAUACUAUAUAUUGCGUUUUAUUUCCAUGUUCUUUUAGCAUCAAUUUUGACGUUAAACUAAUAAAACAUGGGAAAAAACUCACCCCAACAGCUUUCAGCACUGUCACCAGCGCCGCCAUAAGCAGCACGGCACAUUACGU